UACGUAGGAGGCAAGCGUUGUCCGGAGUACUGGGCGUAAAGCGCACGCAGGCGGUCGCAUCAGUCUGGGGUGACAGUUCCCGGCUUAACCGGAAAAGGACUCUGGAACUGUGCGACUUGAGGGCUUCAGAGGAUGUGGAAUCCAGGUGGAGUGGUGAAAUGGCGUAGAGAUCUGGAAGAACACCAAAGGCGAAGGCAGCAUCCUGGGAA
rnacentral:rRNA from 1 species